UACGUAGGGUGCGAGCGUUGUCCGGAAUUAUUGGGCGUAAAGGGCUCGUAGGCGGUUUGUCACGUCGGGAGUGAAAACUCGGGGCUCAACCCCGAGCCUGCUUCCGAUACGGGCAGACUAGAGGUAUGCAGGGGAGAAUGGAAUUCCUGGUGUAGCGGUGAAAUGCGCAGAUAUCAGGAGGAACACCGGUGGCGAAGGCGGUUCUCUGGGCAUUACCUGACGUGGAGGAGCGAA
rnacentral:rRNA from 1 species